GAUGAACGCUGACAGAAUGCUUAACACAUGCAAGUCGAUUCGAUUUACCUUCGGGUAUUGAGGAUGGCGGACGGGUGAGUAACGCGUAAGGAACUUGCCUCUUGGUCUGGGACAACUGUUGGAAACGACAGCUAAUACCGGAUAUUAUGAGAUUCUCGCAUGGGAAACUUAUGAAAGCUAUAUGCGCCAAGAGAGAGCCUUGCGUUCCAUUAGCUAGUUGGUGGGGUAACGGCCCACCAAGGCGACGAUGGAUAGCCGGCCUGAGAGGGUGAACGGCCACAAGGGGACUGAGACACGGCCCUUACUCCUACGGGAGGCAGCAGUGGGGAAUAUUGGACAAUGGACCAAAAGUCUGAUCCAGCAAUUCUGUGUGCACGAUGAAGGUCUUCGGAUUGUAAAGUGCUUUCAGUUGGGAAGAAGCAAGUGACGGUACCAACAGAAGAAGCGACGGCUAAAUACGUGCCAGCAGCCGCGGUAAUACGUAUGUCGCAAGCGUUAUCCGGAUUUAUUGGGCGUAAAGCGCGUCUAGGCGGAAAAAUAAGUCUGAUGUUAAAAUGCGGGGCUCAACUCCGUAUUGCGUUGGAAACUGUUUUUCUAGAGUACUGGAGAGGUGGGCGGAACUACAAGUGUAGAGGUGAAAUUCGUAGAUAUUUGUANNAAUGCCGAUGGAGAAGUCAGCUCACUGGACAGAUACUGACGCUAAAGCGCGAAAGCGUGGGGAGCAAACAGGAUUAGAUACCCUGGUAGUCCAC
rnacentral:rRNA from 1 species